UAUCUCUGUAGAGUCUGCAUAUCAAUAAGCGGAGGAAAAGAAACUAACUAGGAUUCCCUCAGUAACGGCGAGUGAAGCGGGAAGAGCUCAAAUUUGAAAUCUUCAAGGUCCUACCUUGACGUAUUGUAGUUUAAAGAAGUGUUUUCUGUUGGAGUUUUGGUAAAAGUUCUUUGGAAUAGGACAUCAUAGAGGGUGAGAAUCCCGUAUUUGACCAUUAUUUUCAGCUUUGUGAUACACUUUCAACGAGUCGGAUUGUUUGGGAAUGCAGUCCAAAAUGGGUGGUAAAUUUCAUCUAAAGCUAAAUAUUGGCGAGAGACCGAUAGCGAACAAGUACCGUGAGGGAAAGAUGAAAAGAACUUUGAAAAGAGAGUUAAACAGUACGUGAAAUUGUCAAAAGGGAAGCGUUUGACACCAGUGUUGUCUUUCCGAAAAUCAAUUACGAAUGUUUUGUUUUUGAGAAGUUAUGACUUCAUCGGCUUGCUUCUUUCUUUACGAAACUUUCUUAAUGCACUUUUCGGUUAACAAGUCAACAUCAAUUUCUUUUGUUGUAAAAGGGUAUGAGGAAGGUGGCUUUCUUUUCGGAGAAAGUGUUUAUAGCCUUGUGCCUCUGCAAUCGGAGAGAUUGAGGUCUGCAGCGUAGAUCCUUCGGGGUUAGAUACAUUUGUGCUAAGUUAUAGCUUUUCAUAGACAACUUGUCGACUAUGUUUAGUCUUGUAGCUUACUCGCUUAUGCUAUUUUACCUACGCUUAGGAUGUUGAUGUGAUACUGCGAGC
rnacentral:rRNA from 1 species